rnacentral:rRNA from 1 species
AGCGAACGCUGGCGGCAGGCCUAACACAUGCAAGUCGAACGAAGUCUUCGGACUUAGUGGCGGACGGGUGAGUAACACGUGGGAACGUGCCUUUAGGUUCGGAAUAACUCAGGGAAACUUGUGCUAAUACCGAAUGUGCCCUUCGGGGGAAAGAUUUAUCGCCUUUAGAGCGGCCCGCGUCUGAUUAGCUAGUUGGUGAGGUAAUGGCUCACCAAGGCUACGAUCAGUAGCUGGUCUGAGAGGAUGACCAGCCCCAUCGGGACUGAGACACGGCCCAAACUCCUACGGGAGGCAGCAGUGGGGAAUCUUGCGCAAUGGGCGAAAGCCUGACGCAGCCAUGCCGCGUGGAUGAUGAAGGUCUUAGGAUUGUAAAAUCCUUUCACCGGUGAAGAUAAUGACUGUAGCCGGAGAAGAAGCCUCGGCUAACUUCGUGCCAGCCGCCGCAGUAAGAC